rnacentral:lncRNA from 12 species
AGGCACUCCAAACAAUCUGUAACACAAUGGCACCGACAAAAGUGGCAGAAAGAGAUCUCCCUUCACAAGAAUGGUCUGUCAGGACAAGGACAGGGAGAGAACUUUGGAAGAGAAACUGGAACAUUGGCUGAAAUCAGAAAUGGUCCUUACUAAAGCAGCUGAAGUCAUCACCUAUUUGCUAAGAAAAAAGGGCAGAUACACAAAAGCAGUCUCCUUUCCCUCCGAGGAGCCCUACCAAAGCUUGGAAACCACGGCCUUGGAGAUAGGAGAUUCUGGAGGCUGUAUAGAUAAGGGGCUGGUGUAUUCAAACUGCAGAUAG